rnacentral:tRNA from 1 species
GCCGGGGUGGCGGAAUUGGUAGACGCGCUACUCUCAAAAAGUAGUGAGGGCAACCUCAUAUCGGUUCGAUUCCGAUCCUCGGCACCA